GUGUCAGCAGCCGCGGUAAUACGUAGGGUCCGAGCGUUGUCCGGAAUUAUUGGGCGUAAAGGGCUUGUAGGCGGUUUGUCACGUCGGAAGUGAAAACUCAGGGCUUAACCCUGAGCCUGCUUCCGAUACGGGCAAACUAGAGGGAUGCAGGGGAGAAUGGAAUUCCUGGUGGAGCGGUGGAAUGCGCAGAUAUCAGGAGGAACACCGGUGGCGAAGGCGGUUCUCUGGGCAUUUCCUGACGCUGAGAAGCGAAAGCGUGGGGAGCAAACAGGCUUAGAUACCCUGGUAGUCC
rnacentral:rRNA from 1 species